AAAAUUUUAGUUUAAAUAAAACUUUUCUUUUACACUGAAACAAUUUAAAAUUAAUUUUUGAAAUUUUA
rnacentral:tRNA from 1 species